GGUUACGUAGUGAAAUGGUAACACGCCGCUAAAAUUAGCUUGUAGCAAUAUUGCUAGGGUCGGGUACAUCGGUAUUGCAGGUUCGAAUCCUGCCGUAGCCA
rnacentral:tRNA from 1 species